rnacentral:rRNA from 1 species
GCUCCUUGGCCUACGUCUCUUCUGGGAUGAUAGUGUUGAAGAGCGUGUCAGCUUCUGUGGUCAUUUGCGGACCUUCAGCUCACCUGGUUUACUCUGGGUUGGUUGGAGAUCAUCCGACUCUUGAUCACCUUUACUUUGAAAAAAUUAGAGUGUUCAAAGCAGGCUUACGCCGUGAAUACUAUUAGCAUGGGAUAACACCGUAGGACUUCGGUUCUAUUUUGUUGGUUUCUAGGACUGAAGUAAUGAUUGAUAGGGAUAGUUGGGGGUGCUAGUAUUCAGCGGCCAGAGGUGAAAUUCUCGGAUUCGCUGAAGACUAACUUAUGCGAAAGCAUU